AUCAUCUUCGUCGCCGCCGCCGCCCAUCGUGCAGCUGGGCUACGAACAGCUGUUGUCCGUCCUCCGCCUCCUCCCGACCGAGGCCGUGCUCUCCACUGCCACCUGCCGCGCGUUCCGGGCCGGCGCUUCCUCUGACGUACUCUGGGCGGCUAUCCGUCCUCCGCCUGCUCCCGCUUGAGGCCGUGCUCACCUUCGCCGCCACCUAUCGCGUGUUCCUGGCAAUAGCUCACAGAUUGCGAAAUUUUCGAGUUUCGAGUAUGUGGAGUGUAAUGGAAAAGAUGUUGGGCUCAGCGUGCGAAAGAAGUCUGAAAUAGUUCUUGCCAUUGUGGGUGGGAGAAACUUACUGAUGCAGUUCCAAGUCAGGGAGAAGGCUGCUACUACGAGGGAUAAGUACUUCGGUUUGUCAUCAAUUGAGGAUAUUCAAACGGAGCUUAUUUAGUCUAGAAGGAAUCAGAUGAUCAAACGAGGAACGGUAAAGGAAUGGCUAACAGUUGAUUCAGUGUCUAGGAAGAUGGCUGGUUUGUGUCCACUCAUGCUAGAAGAGAUUGAAUAAAACACUUAUCAUGGAGGCUGUCGUGUUGAUGGGCAUACUAUAGAGGUAAUAAUGUUAACUGAUGUAUGUCCAUUUCUUCCUUGUGCUCUGAAUCUGCAAGUUUGGAUUGGGUGGGUUGUGUUUGACUGUUUGCAGCGGUCGUUUCAGAUUGCCUUUUCACUAACUCUUGAAUUAUUGCGCCUCAAGUAUUUAUUCUGCAUGUGCAUUAGUUAAGUUAGCCUUGCAAAAAGGUUUCUGAUUUGGGUGCUCCUGGCCUUUCUACAUGUCCUGCUGUUUAUAUAGUAGUUGGCUACCUAGUCGAGGGGCUUACUCUAAGGCUGAAUGUUAUGUCUCAUCCAAGUUAUGAGUACAUGUGUCACAUGUGCUCUAGAGUUGCUUCUGAGUUCUGAUCAUUGCAAAAUAUUUUGUCAAUAUCAGGUUCUCAUCCAACUAUGAGUAAUUAUUUGUUUUCGUAGUGUAUGUUUGUGCCUUACUCAUCCUAUUUUAUCACAUUUUAGAUA